GAUGAACGCUGGCGGCGUGCCUAAUACAUGCAAGUCGAGCGAACAGAUAAGGAGCUUGCUCCUUUGACGUUAGCGGCGGACGGGUGAGUAACACGUGGGUAACCUACCUAUAAGACUGGGAUAACUUCGGGAAACCGGAGCUAAUACCGGAUAAUAUUUCGAACCGCAUGGUUCGAUAGUGAAAGAUGGUUUUGCUAUCACUUAUAGAUGGACCCGCGCCGUAUUAGCUAGUUGGUAAGGUAACGGCUUACCAAGGCGACGAUACGUAGCCGACCUGAGAGGGUGAUCGGCCACACUGGAACUGAGCACCGGGCCAGCCCCCAACGGGAGGCAGGAGGAGGGAAUCUUCCGCAAUGGGGGAAACCCUGACGGAGAAACGCCGGGGGGGUGAUGAAGGUUUUCGGUUCGUAAACCUUUUUUAUUAGGAAAGAACAUACGUGUAAGUAACUGUGCAAGUCUUGACGGAACCUAAUAAAAAAGCCCCGGCAAAUUACGU
rnacentral:rRNA from 1 species